UAAUAAUUGUUACAAAUGGUGGUGGGGGUGUACAAGAAAUGGAUAAAAAGUUAGUAAAUGACUCUGCUGAGUACUCAAUUUAAGUAAAUUAAAUGAUCAUAACCCCCAACUUGUAAAUUAUUUUGCCAAACAUAUAUCUGAGCUGUUAGCAUAGUAGGAGACACAUGAGUUCUUUUUUCUCUAGCACAGACAUAAGCUUUACCAAAAAUGAGGCAAGAAGAUUUAUUAUAGGUUUUUUUGGUCAUUUCAGGUUUCGCCAGCACUACAAGAAGUUCAUUGACUGUGACCCUUGCUGGAUUUCUGCUGCACAUGAUGCUUUCACGCCUCUGAACUCACCGGGCUCUUGGCUACUACCGUUUUUAUUUGACAUACUGUACACUUGCAGAAGAAACAAUCACGAUUUCAACGGUUUCUUAAAACCUUUUUAACAGUCAAUUGAUGCGGCUCCUAGGAAUGUGCAUGGGUGUCACUCAGAUGGGCCUUUUAAAUCGGAGCAAAUUUUAAGGCCUGAAAUGAGAGAACUGUAAUUUCAAGAAGGCAGUUCGUAUUAAAGAUCCCAUGCAGAUAGAUGCCCACGAGGACAGAGGUCGUCUUUUAAACAAGAGGUGAAACAAAUGUCAAGGGGCAAAUUGUAAACCUAGCAAGAGAUGCCUGAAGUGAAGCAGUGAAGUAGCUUCAAAUACACAAUAGAGGAAGCUCCACCCUUGGAUUUUUAUGUUUUAAUUUAACAUUAAAUUAUUCAAUUCUAUGUCUCUGGGUGCAGAAUGCCAGGGAUACUGUAAGCCUCAUUUCUACCUGUGAGCCUUUUUUUAAAGUCUUUCUUUGGAACCACAACUGCCAAAAUCACAGGAAGAGGACUCCUCAUUCCCUCAAGGGAGAGGCCCAGCUGGGCCUGUGGACUCAAGGGGCUUCCGCCUCCUUUCCGCUCUGGAGGAGAGGGACUCAUUUCGACCAGGCAUCCCGAACCUGAGGUGUGUUCGGAUGCAUCUGGGUUAAUGAAUUUAAUGAAUAAGCAAUCACUGGGCCAAUAUCAUUUCAGUCCUCCACAGAGCUGUGCCCACAGGCUGCCAGUGGGCCAUGGGUCUGCAGUUUGGGUGGGGACUUCCUCGACAGGGAGUCUGGGAUACUACUGUAAACAACCCGGAAAAGGCGGAUGAGGUGACUGAACUGGAGGGGGUGUUUUAACUUGGACACCAAACCAUGGUUGCUGGCUUGUUGUUACGAGAGGAGAGAAGAAAACAGAGAGGCUUGUAAGUGUGGUUCAAAAUAUGUGAAGCAAUCAUUGCUGUCUGAACCAACAUGGAUUUGUGCAACAAGGCAGGGGGACAGAAAGGGACAAGACAUUGUGCUGAGAUGGUUUGGGAAGCAUCAAGAGGAGCCAGAUAAAUGAUUCGUAAAAGAUGUGGCAUUUCUGUUCCCACAGCAACUACCCUAAAGUAUUGAUUUACACUACCUGUCAGUAGAAGCUAUAAUUUAAUUAAACACACAUUGUGAAAA